GGGGAUUUAGCUCAGUGGUAGAGUGCUUGCCUAGCAAGCACAAGGCCCUGGGUUCGGUUCCCAGCUCUG
rfam:Rattus norvegicus chromosome 2, whole genome shotgun sequence.